UAAAGAGUCUUCCGCAAUGGACGAAAGUCUGACGGAGCGAUACCGCGUGAACGAUGAAGGUCGUAAGAUUGUAAAGUUCUUUUCUGGGGGAAGAAUUCUGACGGUACCCUAGGAAUAAGCACCGGCUAACUCCGUGCCAGCAGCCGCGGUAAUACGGAGGGUGCAAGCGUUACCCGGAAUUAUUGGGCGUAAAGCGUACGCAGGUGGUUUGUUAAGUCGAAUAUUAAAUCUUGAAGCUCAACUUCAAGGCUGUGUUUGAAACUGGCAGACUGGAGACUUCCAGAGGCAUGUGGAAUUCUGUGUGUAGGGGUAAAAUCCGUAGAUACACGGAAGAACACCAAAAGCGAAGGCAGCAUGCUGGGGAAGUUCUGACACUUAUGUACGAAAGCGUGGGGAGCAAACGGG
rnacentral:rRNA from 1 species